rnacentral:tRNA from 1 species
GAUUAAGGAUACAGACGGUACUGUAGUAGACCUGCAAAGUCUAAUUUUAAGGUUCAAUUCCUUCUUAAUUU